UGUAAACCCAGUGCAGUUUCCACCACACCAUGUGGGCAGAGGAGUUUGUUUCUGGAAAUAAGUAUAAGACUUCAGUCAUGGAGAUACAUUUAUUCCAACUCUCUUUGCCUAGUGUGGAAGAGUACACAACUCAUUGAGAGAGGAUACGCCACCCCACCGUGACCAGUCUUGAAGGCAAAACCAAGGGGUGUGUGCCAUCUUCAUCCCUCACUGAAGGUAAUGGGAGUAUUUUGCACAGCAGUGACAUGCAGUUUUAAAGAGAGUGCAUUUUCUUCUGCUGACUGCUUUUUCAGGCUCAUCCUGGUAGAAGAAAAGGCUGAAAAUGAUAUCUCCAAUUUAUUACUGCAUUUGUCUGGGGGCACUUUUCUGAUUGAAAUGACACUAAAUCCACUGGGAAGUAGAAGCUGUGGGCUUCACGAGGAUGCAACCCACACAGCUGUGAUCAAACCUUUGAUCUGUUACCACGACUGUCAAAAUAAACUGAUAUGAAAUAUGAAAAAAAGAGAGUUCUUAUUUUUAACUGCCAGAU
rnacentral:lncRNA from 1 species